rnacentral:rRNA from 1 species
UACAGAGGUCUCAAGCGUUGUUCGGAUUCAUUGGGCGUAAAGGGUGCGUAGGCGGCGCGGUAAGUCGGGUGUGAAAUCUCGGGCUUAACUCCGAAACUGCAUUCGAUACUGCGGUGCUUGAGGACUGGAGAGGAGACUGGAAUUCAUGGUGUAGCAGUGAAAUGCGUAGAGAUCAUGAGGAAGACCAGUGGCGAAGGCGGGUCUCUGGACAGUUCCUGACACUGAGACACGAAGGCCAGGGGAGCAAACGGG